rnacentral:lncRNA from 1 species
GAGAAAAUCGGCGUCGAUGUGGAACUUCCUCACCUUGGGCGACGCCUAGAGGAUCAAGACGCCGUCCACGGUCGGGGAGGCGUUCCGCCAGGGGAAGGAGAAGAUGAGGUCCGGGGCGGCGGUCCAGACGGAUCGCCGCCGCUUCGACAAGGACGCACGGGCAGACAAUGCGUGCGAGGUCGAGAGACGAGAAGAUGUGGUGGAUCACCGAGUCGGGGGCAAGGUGGCUGGUGCGAUCGGCAUC